rnacentral:rRNA from 2 species
GCUCAAAUUUGAAAUCUGGCCCUUGUGGUCCGAGUUGUAAUUUGUAGAGGAUGCUUUUGGUGAGGUACCUUCCGAGUUCCCUGGAACGGGACGCCAUAGAGGGUGAGAGCCCCGUCUGGUUGGAUACCGAUCCUCUGUAAAGCUCCUUCGACGAGUCGAGUAGUUUGGGAAUGCUGCUCUAAAUGGGAGGUAUAUGUCUUCUAAAGCUAAAUAUUGGCCAGAGACCGAUAGCGCACAAGUAGAGUGAUCGAAAGAUGAAAAGCACUUUGAAAAGAGGGUUAAAUAGUACGUGAAAUUGUUGAAAGGGAAGCGCUUGUGACCAGACUUGGGCUUGGUUAAUCAUCCAGGGUUCUCCCUGGUGCACUUGGCCAGCCCAGGCCAGCAUCAGUUUGUCGCGGGGGAUAAAGGCGUUGGGAAUGUGGCUCCCUCGGGAGUGUUAUAGCCCUUCGUGUAAUACCCUGCUUUAGACUGAGGUUCGCGCAUCUGCAAGGAUGCUGGCGUAAUGGUCAUCAGCGACCCGUCUUGAAACACGGACCAAGGAGUCGUCUUCGUAUGCGAGUGUUCGGGUGUCAAACCCCUACGCGUAAUGAAAGUGAACGCAGGUGAGAGCUUCGGCGCAUCAUCGACCGAUCCUGAUGUUCUCGGAUGGAUUUGAGUAAGAGCAUACGGGGCCGGACCCGAAAGAAGGUGAACUAUGCCUGUGUAGGGUGAAGCCAGAGGAAACUCUGGUGGAGGCUCGCAGCGGUUCUGACGUGCAAAUCGAUCGUCAAACAUGGGCAUGGGGGCGAAAGACUAAUCGAAC